rnacentral:rRNA from 1 species
CCUACGGGUGGCAGCAGUGGGGAAUAUUGCACAAUGGAGGAAACUCUGAUGCAGCAACGCCGCGUGAGUGAUGAAGGCCUUCGUGUUGUAAAGCUCUAUCAUCAGGGAUGAAAACGACGGUACUUGAGUAAUAACCCGCGGCUAACUACGUCCCAGCAGCCGCGGUAAUACGUCGGGGGCGAGCGUUGUCCGGAUUUACUGGGCGUAAAGGGAGCGUAGGCGGCGAAGUAAGUCGGAUGUGAAAGCCCGGGGCUUAACCUCGGAGCUGCUGUGGAAACUAUUUGGCUAGAGUGCAGGAGAGGUAAGUGGAAUUCCUAGUGUAGCGGUGAAAUGCGUAGAUAUUAGGAGGAACACCAGUGGCGAAGGCGACUUACUGGACUGUAACUGACGCUGAGGCUCGAAAGCGUGGGGAGCAAACAGGAUUAGAUACCCGUGUAGUC